rnacentral:rRNA from 1 species
GACGAACGCUGGCGGCGUGCUUAACACAUGCAAGUCGAACGAUGAAGCCUAGCUUGCUAGGUGGAUUAGUGGCGAACGGGUGAGUAAUACGUGAGUAACCUACCUUUAACUCUGGGAUAAGCCUGGGAAACUGGGUCUAAUACCGGAUACGACCAAUCUCCGCAUGGGGUGUUGGUGGAAAGCGUUAUGUAGUGGUUAUAGAUGGGCUCACGGCCUAUCAGCUUGUUGGUGAGGUAACGGCUCACCAAGGCGACGACGGGUAGCCGGCCUGAGAGGGUGACCGGCCACACUGGGACUGAGACACGGCCCAGACUCCUACGGGAGGCAGCAGUGGGGAAUAUUGCACAAUGGGCGCAAGCCUGAUGCAGCGACGCCGCGUGAGGGAUGACGGCCUUCGGGUUGUAAACCUCUGUUAGCAGGGAAGAAGAGAAAUUGACGGUACCUGCAGAGAAAGCGCCGGCUAACUACGUGCCAGCAGCCGCGGUAAUACGUAGGGCGCGAGCGUUGUCCGGAAUUAUUGGGCGUAAAGAGCUUGUAGGCGGUUUGUCGCGUCUGCUGUGAAAGGCCGGGGCUUAACCCCGUGUAUUGCAGUGGGUACGGGCAGACUAGAGUGCAGUAGGGGAGACUGGAAUUCCUGGUGUAGCGGUGGAAUGCGCAGAUAUCAGGAGGAACACCGAUGGCGAGGGCAGGUCUCUGGGCUGUAACUGACGCUGAGAAGCGAAAGCAUGGGGAGCGAACAGG